rnacentral:rRNA from 1 species
UACGAAGGGGGCUAGCGUUGCUCGGAAUCACUGGGCGUAAAGCGCACGUAGGCGGCUUUUUAAGUCAGGGGUGAAAUCCUGGAGCUCAACUCCAGAACUGCCUUUGAUACUGAGAAGCUUGAGUCCGGUAGAGGUGAGUGGAACUGCGAGUGUAGAGGUGAAAUUCGUAGAUAUUCGCAAGAACACCAGUGGCGAAGGCGGCUCACUGGCCCGGUACUGACGCUGAGGUGCGAAAACGUGGGGAGCAAACAGG